CAUCUCACCGCUGGAUCGGUGCAGCCUCCAGAGCGGUGAGCGAUACAUGCCUUUUGUUUGAACCCCUCACACCCCGGCCUUUUUAUGAUAGCAUCCCAAGUGGACAAAGACAAGGACAUUACUGGGAGAACUGGUCCACACAAAGACCUAACAAGCCAAGCCCCCUCCCGGGAAGAGCACAGCCGAAGCCUUUCCACACAACGCGUGGUGACUUUUGAGUAGCUUGGACCAAGAUUUAUUGUCAACAGCCCAGUCGGUAACAGCUGUUUGCAUUCCUCAGCCCCUCCAUUGCCUCCUGAAUGUCAAGUCUCUUAGCUGAGAGAGCAUCCUUCAUUUGGCUAUGCCUGCUCAAAAGAAUUACUUUUGCACGGUAUGAUCUGCUCAGCUAUACCCAUCUUCCACAUGCAGCCCUCCCAAGCCGGACACGAAUACAAAAGAAACGGAAGAUUAAUUCCAGAUAGUACGUGGCGCAAGCCAAUUAACUCAGCGCACACCGGAUGGUCCCUAAUCGCUCUUCUAGCGAGCGGAGGCUCUGCGUUUCCUUCUUACUGCCUUCGGGCCUCUCUUUGUAAAUACAUACUAGUCAGAAUUGAA